GUUGGGACCUUCGGGGAGGUCUUGAAGUAGAAUGACCAAAAGAUGAAAGCCAGGAGACAACCUAGGUGGAGUGGCCUUACUGCCACGCAGGUGUACAUCAAGGACAACUCCCUGAGGGUGAUGGUACAGUUACUCUCUGUUCGACCAUUGAUAGUAUGUGCCAUCAUAUAGUUGAGGAAGCGAUUGAGUUUAUCCUGGUACUCAGCAGCCUUGGUCACCCAUACGAGCAAAUGAAAUCAAAAGUUAGUGCAAUAAAUUGCUAAAGAUAAGGAAAUCAAGUUUAGGUCAAGUGACUUACCGGCAACAAAAAGGAUGUUCCUCCUCAUCAGCCGGAGCUAGGAGUGAGCAGAGUCGAUGACACAAGGGGCCUUAUCUUCCUCAGCGUAGAAGCCGAAGACGAUAGCCAGCUCGUCAAGAGAGAGGUGGCACACCUACCCGGCUAUCAAGAAGAUGAGUGAUGGUCGGAUACGCCCGAUGUUGAGGUCCAUGUACAGAGUCGCAAAGAACUCAUGUGUGAGCACCUCAUAGGCGGGCUCGUCCACCUAAAAGACGCGCUCCGUACGUCCGUUGCGGAGGAGCUCAGCAGCCCACUCCUCCCAGUCAGCAAAAGGAGUCUCUCCUCAAAGUCACUCCAUGCGCUCCGGGUUGGUGAAGCUAAGAAAGUUAGCGGCAGCCCGAUCAAUGUCCCUAGCCAGACUCGCCUCAUAGGAGGCAAGAUAAGCCACAACCUCAGGAUCCUCUCCUGCAAGACGUCGGG
rnacentral:lncRNA from 1 species